CCCGUCUCCUUCUUCGACCCACACACGAACGUGGGUUCGAGCCGCCGGCCCUCCAGCUUGCCCGCCCCUCUUCCCCGUCUUCUCCCCCCACCUCUACUCCCCCAGGCCAUACCGUGGUGGAUGACAUGCCCGCCGACGCUCCAUCCUCCCCUCUUCUCCAUCUUUCCCCUAGCCAUCUCCCUCCUCCCUCCCUGUUUCGCCCCCACCCCUACUCGGAUCUGGUCUGGAAUUUGGCGCCGGCGACUUGGAGGCGGAGGACACUCGAGCGCUCCUUCUGGAUCGGGUCAACACGGCUUCGCCGCUCGAUGCGGAACGACGGGGGCGGCUAGAUCGGCGGCGGCGGCUGGAGCAUGCAGAACGACGACGGCGGCUGGAGUUGGGGAUUGCCAUCCCUGUGAGGAGCGCGUCUCGCCGGCCGCGGCUUCACUGGGAGGAGCGCAGCUGCGUAGUCCGUCGCUCGCACCGCUGCUUCACCGGUUAGGAGCAUCAGCUACGGCGCUUGCCAUCCCCGUGGUCACCGCUGCUGCUGCAAACGCUGGUGAUGGAGAAUCGCUCCUUGGUUUUUGUUGCUGCCAGAUCCUCAAUCGCUACCUCGAUCUUGCCAUCACCAGCCCAUCAAGGGCUCCAAUAUCCUCAGGUAUCCACCAGAAAAAUAAGGAAAAAGCUCAAGUUCUGACUCAUGUGUUUCUAGAUUAAAAAACAAGAAGCUCUAGCCCAUGUGGUUGAGGUUGUCUCUUAUCUUAUUUGCUUAGCGUAUUUAUAUUUCAUCAGGAUGCAAGUUGCUACUUGAGUGUUAGAAUUUGUGAAAUACCGAUUUUCUCUUGGCCCCAACGACAUUGCUUGGCUCCACUCAAAAUGCCAGUUGUUAGAAGUAAUAUGUUCUUCCUUUUCCCCGAAGAAGAUUUAUACAAUCUGAUCAUCUAUACAUUGGACAGAUAAACAAUAGAAAGAGAACUCAAUCUGAUAUGCUUUUGUUCAGGUCCAGAUAUAGAAACCAUAGAUUGGUAAAUGCAUCUAAAUUCUAAAUUAAAUUAUGCUUAAUGUGAGAGGAAAGCAAGAUUUCCUUACAGUACUGAUGGUUAAUGACAGAAGCAUAUCAAGUAUAACAGUGAAAUUGCAGUACUGUUGUUCGUCGCGUUGUUCAGUUAAAGGUUAAUAUCUCCAAACUUCAUUUUCUCUUUUUGUAGAAGCUCUCGCCUAACAACUUAUUUUCUAGGACUGUUAGUCUUUGUUUAACAAAUUUGAAUCUUGAUGUGGCUAAACGGUGAAUAAAUUCUACUGUAAACAUUAGUGUGUAUGUCGCUCUUUUCUUCCUACAAAAAAUAGUCCGCUCAUUAAACUUAAAUGCAAUAUCAAUUCACUCCGAAGAGGCUUAUCCCCUUUCACUAACUACCUAUUCCUUUGACCUGUCAAACAAUCAAAAGGAUCCCUUUAAAUUGGUUCUAAAUGUUUAUGCAGCAUCAGUGUUAUAAGGUACCAGAAAACAUGUGGAGAGAAUACUUCGUUCCGUUGUGAAAACAAUAGCUGUACUCUUCUAGGUUUUGUUAGAUCAAUUGGCUACUUUGACGGAUUCUUGUGUGGACGUGAUGGGCAGGUACUUCGCCCUCUUCCUCAUCCUUCCUGUACUCCCCCUAUAUCUUAUUUGCACACUCCCAACCCAUUUUUUUUGCCUUAUUUGCACAUUUGUUAUAACAGCAAUGUGACAUUAUGGUAUGAUAUUUGCAAUCAUCCACUUAAAUGGCACCUUCAGUUCCAAAGAAAAUAGAUGUAUUUGACUCUUUUUGUUUACAUCCAUCAUGCCAACAAUGAUUAGAGGAAAUCGGUAGUGAUAACAUGAUUUGUUGACUUACUUGGGCUUGGUACAGCGCUGCCGUAUAGAGACACUAUGCGAUGCUAGAUUUGGUAUGAUGCGAUGCCAGCUGUGAAUCUGGGAGUGAAGGAGGUCACGAUGGAGUGGCUCCUUCUCCAUCAUGGUUUGUAGCACUCGAUACCCAUGCAAUUAAUUAAUACUCAAUUUUCUAGCACUCGAUACAUCAUGGUAUACUUAAGAGACACAUUUCUCCCUUUCCAUCCCUAUAGAGUUGAUUUGGUUUUUUUAGCAUCUCCCAGUAAAUAUAAGUCCGUUGUUUUCAUUUUCAUUGGUACUCCCUCCGUCCGAAAAAAGCUUGUCUCCAUUGAAACAAAGGACUGAAUCUGACAGUUCUACAAAUUCAAACCUUUGAGCCUAGCUAUUCCAAGAUGCAUAUUAUUUAGUAUGUCACUUCAUACAUCAUGAUUGCUGCUGCAAUUUAUAUACUUGACAUAUAAACUUUCAUAAUCCUACUGGAAGCUGUGUUUCCCUGCUUCAUACACCUUUUUGUUGGGCAAUGCUGCCAGUUAAAACAUUGACUGCAACUUGCUCUGGCGGAUGUCUCAACUAUGUAGCGAAAUGAAAUGAUUUGAAUACAAAUAUUACAAGUCCUAUUUUUUUUACUUGGAUGGGUUCAUGUUACUAAUUGUUUGGUAGAUUGCGGUUGCCAAUUUUCUAUGAUAUUGUAAUGGCCACAAUUCCAUUUGGUUACUUACAGAUCUGAACUAUAACAUAGUGCACACAUUAGUUGGAGAAGGAACUGCCUUCCAAGCUUAUAAAUGAUUUCGUCUUACAGGCCAGCCAAAAAAUCUUCAACCCUCAUUGUAUAAUGAAAUUAUACAUCUGCAACUCUCAUUGCAAGUAAAUUAUAAUUCUUCAGCGCUCAUUGUAUAAGUAUAACCAUGUGAUUUGGAAUGAUUGAUAAUCCAUAUAUCCCACACUUAUAUUAAGUUUGUUCAGUGAGAAUGUGAGAUACAAGUACAACUUUAAUACAAAGUUGUACGAAGUUAGGGAUAGCAGAGUAUUCCAGUAUUCAUGUUGAAAGCUAUGUUAAAUCCUAAAUUUUGUAUGCUUCUGAAAUGAAGGUGAGCAAUAGCAUCUUGCAUUAACAGAAGAAAUUAUGUUUCCAUAUUUUCAUUUUAAUGUUUUCUAUGUGUUUUAAUUUUAUGCUUGAGUUUAUUUAUUUUUCAUUCUUUUACUUUAAUCCACAACCCAACUGGGCAUACAUAGUAUCUUACCUGUCCCAUAAAAGGUUCUUGCUGAAAGCAUAAUUUUUCUUCAUGUUGAACAUAAUUGAGGAGAGAUUAAUCAAAUAAUCCUUUUUAUUUUAGGUCAUGCUUAUUGGGUUAUGAGUGUGAUGUUUUUUCCCGUUGCAACGCACGAGCAGUUUUCCUUUUAUUUAAUAAUAAACCAGCGAUUGCUUCUGGUCGUUUCUCAUCGGGCUUUUUUGCAAAAAAGUAUCCCCGUUUCUGAUAAAUUGACCCGCAGCCCAACUUAAAGUGUGGAUAAUGUUCCGUUUUUUGCAAAAAAAAAACCCUGCCACCACAGCCCGUACGAGAACACGAGCGUUACCUCCGCGGCCGCGCCCCAUCUCUCCACUAUCGUGCCCCCGUCCCUCUGCUCGCCGCCGCGCGCACCGUCCCUCUGCUAGCCGCCUUGAACCAUCCCUCCACCGCCGCGCCCCCGUCCAUCCUCUCCUCGGUGCCCGUCCUCGCUCCACCGUCGCCGAAUCUGGACGAGAUCGGGAGAAUCCGCCUCAUCUCGCGCAGCUGCUCGUCGGCCAUGCGGGGAGGACGAACGAGCUGCUCAUCGGCGUCCGUCCCACAGCCCCGCUGAAGAAGGCGCCCAGCCCCCUCGACAGCGCACUCCUCCUACUUGCCGCCCGGGUGCAAACAAUGACAGCGAGUAGGCGGCAAGUAUACUGCGCCGAGAAGCGAUACAGGGGCAUGAAGCAAGCGAGCAGGCAUGCGCGGCGACCUGCUACUGCAGUAAUAGUAGCCUUGACGGAGCACCAGGGCCGGCUCGACAGGGCAUGCCACCCGCCGGUAGACACCUGGUUGUGUGAGACGGAGAUGAACCCCCCCCCCCCCCCCCCCCCCCCCCCCCCCCCCCCCCCCCCCCCCCCCCCCCCCCCCCCGGUCGUCGCCUCUGCAGCCUGGACAGAGCUCCGCCGGUGCUGGGGAUGAACCCUGCGCCUGUGAUGGUGAUGACGCUCUCCAUUCUUCAGAGAUGUGGCCCUGUCAUUGUUGGCUGUUGAAUUUGCGAUGUAGUCCGUCCCUAUGUCGGUGUAUUAACCACUUCGCCCUCCCGCACAAUGAGCAGAACAGAGCAGCGUCUGCAAUUUACCCAUUGAUUUCUUGAAGUGAUUCAAACCUAGGAAGCCUGCUAAUUGUGCAAGCAACAGGGUAACAAGUUUCAGUUUUCUUACUAAUGCACCUCAAUUUGCAAGGUUAGAACAAUGUCAGUUUACUUUAUGUUGGUUUUCUAAUUUCUACAUAUUCCCUCAAGCAAAUCUAAUUAUCUAGGUAGUACGGAAAGCAGGCAAAUUAUGUAACUAUUUGGGUGUAUUCAUGUCAGAUUGAGGAGAAAGAAUUAUUUUAUUCACCAUCCUAUUUUUUAUCUAUAUGAUGAUCACUUUUUCCAUCUUGUGAUCAUCUUUGCUCCAGUUGUGCGAAUACUUUGUUUGCACUUUAGUGGGACUGAAAUUUUCCUGCUACCAUGAGUCAUGGUAGUAGGCUGCUGCGGCAAAAAACUGGUAAGCCCCCUAAGGGAAGAAAUUUGAAGAAAGUCUCAUCCUGCUUACCAUGUUUUAUCUUAAAAUAUUGGCUUGAUUUUUUUCUGUGUAACCUAUAUCUCUGCAUGGUUACUUUCUCCAGACAUGCUUUAGCUGCAGCAUUGGUCAAGUGGCUUGACAUACCUCACAUGAGUCAUCGCCAAAUGGCCCUUUUCUGAAAUUCAUUCUCUUAUGCACUGAGAGAGGAGUUACUCCAUGACAGUAUGUAUACAUACAAAUGCAAGCAAUGGAGAAACUCAUGCAGAUGAUGACUAAAUAAUUUUUUUAAUUUUCCAACCCGAAUUGGCUACAGAGGUUGGGAAAAGAGGAGUCCAGGCUCUGAUGAACACAUGUUCUUUCGCAGGUGACUAAUAGUUGGCACCUCUGUCUUUACAUUACAUCAGGCCAGCACUACAAAGCCCAUGUAUGCCUCUGCCUGCCUGCUCAAUGGAUGAUCCGAUCACAAAAAGUGGAUAAAAAUACUCAUCAGUUUGUCAAAAUACAUGUUUGUUAUCUUAGGAAUGAGUAUAGCUGUCACCAGAGUACAAGCAAAUAUUUCAAUUUUUCCAUGAAGCAAACUUAUGUUAUGAUUAUCACAUUUUGAUCUUGGAGUAAUGAUUGACGAAACUAGAUGGUUACUGCAGUCUGCACCAGUCCAGUAUUUCUAAUUACAAGUUUGAGCUCCAUAGGGAUAAUCUGAUUAGUGUAUCACAAGCUUUUUGUUUCUAAUUGUGCAAAUUCUAUAGUUA